rnacentral:rRNA from 1 species
UGAGGAACAUGACCUUCGGCGGGGGAUAGCCGGCCCAACGGCCGGGUAAUACCGCGUACGACCACAUGGGGACAUCCCUGAGUGGUGAAAGCAGCAAUGCGCCGAUGGAGUGCCUCGCGGCCUAUCAGCUAGUUGGUGAGGUAACGGCUCACCAAGGCGACGACGGGUAGCCGGCCUGAGAGGGCGAUCGGCCACACGUGGGACCGAGACACGGCCCAGACCUCCGUACGGGAGG